rnacentral:snRNA from 1 species
GUGCUGACUUCAACAGCACGUAUACUAAAAUUGGAACAAUACAUAUAAGAUUAGCAUACCUCCUGCACAAGAAUGACACACAAAUUUGCAAAAUGUUCCAUAGUUUU